UGCUGACGUUGCUUAAUGGCAAAGCACCACAGUUGUUUCUGUUUCAAAGUGGAGAAGGCGGUUCGAUUCCGUCCGUCGGAG
rnacentral:tRNA from 1 species